rnacentral:rRNA from 1 species
UGGGGAAUAUUGGACAAUGGGCGCAAGCCUGAUCCAGCCAUGCCGCGUGAGUGAUGAAGGCCCUAGGGUUGUAAAGCUCUUUCACCGGUGAAGAUAAUGACGGUAACCGGAGAAGAAGCCCCGGCUAACUUCGUGCCAGCAGCCGCGGUAAUACGAAGGGGGCUAGCGUUGUUCGGAUUUACUGGGCGUAAAGCGCACGUAGGCGGACUUUUAAGUCAGGGGUGAAAUCCCGGGGCUCAACCCCGGAACUGCCUUUGAUACUGGAAGUCUUGAGUAUGGUAGAGGUGAGUGGAAUUCCGAGUGUAGAGGUGAAAUUCGUAGAUAUUCGGAGGAACACCAGUGGCGAAGGCGACUUUCUGGUCUGUAACUGACGCUGAUGUGCGAAAGCGUGGGGAUCAAACAGG